UACGAAGGGUCCAAGCGUUAUCCGGAUUUAUUGGGUUUAAAGGGUGCGUAGGCGGCUUAUUAAGUUAGUGGUGAAAGACUUCAGCUUAACUGAAGAACUGCCAUUGAUACUGAUGAGCUUGAGUACAGUUGAGGUGGGCGGAAUGUGUCAUGUAGCGGUGAAAUGCUUAGAUAUGACAUAGAACACCAAUUGCGAAGGCAGCUCACUACGGGGUUAUUGACACUGAGGCACGAAAGCGUGGGGAUCAAACAGG
rnacentral:rRNA from 1 species